rnacentral:rRNA from 1 species
AGAGUUUGAUCAUGGCUCAGGAUGAACGCUGGCGGCGUGCCUAACACAUGCAAGUCGAACGGAGUUUAUAUUAUGAAGUUUUCGGAUGGAAUGAUAUAAACUUAGUGGCGGACGGGUGAGUAACGCGUGGGUAACCUGCCUCAUACAGGGGGAUAACAGUUGGAAACGACUGCUAACACCGCAUAAGCAUACAGUAUCGCAUGAUACAGUGUGAAAAUAUUUAUAGGUAUGAGAUGGGCCCGCGUCUGAUUAGCUAGUUGGUGAGGUAAAGGCUCACCAAGGCGACGAUCAGUAGCCGGCUUGAGAGAGUGACCGGCCACAUUGGGACUGAGACACGGCCCAAACUCCUACGGGAGGCAGCAGUGGGGAAUAUUGCACAAUGGGGGAAACCCUGAUGCAGCGACGCCGCGUGAGUGAAGAAGUAUUUCGGUAUGUAAAGCUCUAUCAGCAGGGAAGAAAAUGACGGUACCUGACUAAGAAGCCCCGGCUAACUACGUGCCAGCAGCCGCGGUAAUACGUAGGGGGCAAGCGUUAUCCGGAUUUACUGGGUGUAAAGGGAGCGUAGGUGGUGCGGUAAGUCAGAUGUGAAAACCCGGGGCUCAACUCCGGGACUGCAUUUGAAACUAUCGAACUAGAGUGCAGGAGAGGUAAGUGGAAUUCCUAGUGUAGCGGUGAAAUGCGUAGAUAUUAGGAGGAACACCAGUGGCGAAAGCGGCUUACUGGACUGUAACUGACACUGAGCUCGAAAGCGUGGGGAGCAAACAGGAUUAGAUACCCUGUAGUCCACGCCGUAAACGAUGAAUACUAGGUGUUGGGGGCCAAAAGGCUCUCGGUG